AACUUUCCCCCCUAAAUUUGGUACCCUCAAAACACCCAAGUGUUUCUCUCUGCCACCACCGUCUUCAUUAUCAUCUUCCCCUCUCUCCCUCUUUUUGCAUAAAUCUCAGAAGUGAUACUGUUGUUUUUACUUGAAAGUAAGCAUAUCAUAGCUUAAAUGAUCUAUCAUUUCCAUCGUGCGUUAAGCUAUCAUAACUACCAUUGAUGUUAGAUUGGAUUGUCUUAAGCUUAGACCUUUUUCGAAUUUUCCCUCUCAACUACUCUCUCUCAAUCUCUCUUCUUCUUCAACUGUUUGGCUCUUUUAUUGUUCCUCAUUAGAUCCAAUUUCUAAUUUCAAAGGACUUUCCUUUUUGUGAAACGCUUGCAAAACUCUACUUUUAUCCACUCUUCUUCAUUAAUUUUUCUUUUUUUGUGUGCUUAAUCUUGAAGAAGGGAUAAAACCCUAGAAAAAAAUUGGGGAAUCCACGAGAAUGAUCGAUGUGGAGAAGCUGAUAUCUUACAGUGACGACCUGGUGGACGUUUUGAACGACAUUAACAACUUGACGCAGUGUUUUCAGCACUUUAACGAUCUCCGCUCGCAUUGCGACGCUGAUUCCAACGAGGUUCAUCGAUUGCUUCGAGAAUAUGAGGAAAAGAUAGAAGCUUGCAAGAAGAAAACAGAACAGGCAAAAUUUGAGGUUGCUGAUGGUACUGAAAUGGAGAGUAUCUGCAGAAGGAAUACCAAGAAGAGCUUGAAAAAGAACGUGGACUUGAAGAGGAGCUUAGAUAAGUAUAUGACUUUUGAUAUAUAUAUAUUUAAUGUUUUGGUGUUAUGGUGUUUGAUUGAUUUGUUAACUCUUAUUUUAUAAGAACACAGCUGUUAGCAAUGAGAUAAUUGAACUAGAGCGCCAGAGGGUUUCUAUUGAAGAACGCAAGAAAAACCUAAGGAAAUAUGAGUAAGACAAACUCAAAGAACACCAAGAGAAGGAAGAAUCUCGGGUUUCAGAUUUUAAGCCAUGCUUCCAAUAAUGUGUUAGAUGGGCUGAACAUGUUUGAUGGAACUGAUGGUCAUUACUUCUACACGGGGUUAAGGGGUCACCACUCGGUGUCGGAUUCUCAUCUUUUUAAUUAUGGAAGCUGAGAAGUACUGAGGUAUCUUCUUUCAAAUGCAAGAUGGUGGCCGGAGGAGUAUAAGUUUGAUGGGUACAAAUUUGAUGGUGUGACUUCAAUGAUGUACAAGAUUUCCUUGAUUAAGUAAAUAUAUUAUAUCUUUUAUUACCAAGAUUUACUUGAUUAAGAAAAUGCAUUGUAUGUUUUAUUAUCUUGCAUAUGUAUUAUUUAUUUUAGUUUUGAUUCUAAAUUUUUAUUUUUACUUAAGAGUUCUAACUUUUGAAUUUUAAUUGUGUUAUUAAUUCAUUAUUUUAAAUUCUAAAUUUAAAUUCAUUAAUUUUUA